GCUUUGCAUUUAGCGACAGUAUCAAAGGCAAACCGACCACUUUAACUGUGGUGUUUUCAUUUGUUCGCUCUAUAGUUUGCCAAGAAUCUGUGUGAGAGCAGGGCCUUAAACGUUGUUGACAUCACGGAAGAACGAGCAAACAUGAUGAGGUUAAUCUCUGGCACAUGCUACAACGAUAUCGACCGGUGGAACGUCAAUAUUUGCAAAGUGUGCAAGGAUGACGAUGGAGAAGACUGGCUGGGUUGUGACGCCUGUGGCCAGUACUUCCACUGCGGCUGUUUACCGGGCGCCAAUUUCGCCGAGGCUGUAACCGGCGUUUCCUUCUGCCGUUGUAAAUAUUAUAUGUUACUCGCGAAGUAUUCCGCAGAUCUGCCAGAGAUUUCUAGUAUCCCCCAAUAGUCACCCAGAGGUAGCGAGGGAUCAAUUUCCCAAGAUGUGAGAGAGAAACUAGAGAUAGCCGUAUUAGUCGGAGCAGUUUGGCAGUUUCAACGAGGAUGUGUAAUUAGAGGGACAAUAGGAGAGCCCGAAGCUAUAGACAGAGCUAGUAUGGGUAUUGUAUGGUCCUAUGACAGUAGGUUAGAUAGUGAUUGUGUUGUGUAACACGAGCAUUGUAUUUAGUUAGAGUUAGACUAGUGGAUAAAGGCAAGCCAUCAAGGCUUAAAAGUCCACUUCAGAGGCUUUAUCCUAUUGAAGUGAGAUGCGCAGACUUGCGGCGCGAGCGCGAACGGCAAUGUGCAGCCCGCUCAGAGCUAGGACAGCACGAGCAGCAGCAUUACAAGCGCAAUAUUUACUUACUUGUUUUUAUAACAGUUAAUUGGUAAUCAUUGUAAUUAAAAGAUUGAAACAAGUGAAAGUAUAAAGUCCCCAAGAUCGUGCAGCGCUAGAUAGAAGUCGAAGUUACGAAAAAAAAAAUUGUGCUCCUAUUUCAGCAAAAAAAUCUAAUUUAUUAUAUUUAUUCAUACUGA